GAUGAACGCUAGCUACAGGCUUAACACAUGCAAGUCGAGGGGCAUCGGUGCGUAGCAAUACGCAGCCGGCGACCGGCGCACGGGUGAGUAACACGUAUCCAACCUACCGCAUACACGGGGAUAGGCUUUCGAAAGAAAGAUUAAUACCCGAUGUUAUAACGAGUGCACAUGCGCUUGUUAUCAAAGGAAUUUCGGUAUGCGCUGGGGAUGCGUUCCAUUAGAUAGUUGGCGGGGUAACAGCCCACCAAGUCUACGAUGGAUAGGGGUUCUGAGAGGAAGGUCCCCCACAUUGGAACUGAGACACGGUCCAAACUCCUACGGGAGGCAGCAGUGAGGAAUAUUGGUCAAUGGACGCGAGUCUGAACCAGCCAAGUAGCGUGAAGGAUGACUGCCCUAUGGGUUGUAAACUUCUUUUAGAAGGGAAUAAAGUGACUUACGUGUAAGUCAUUGCAUGUACCUUCAGAAUAAGGAUCGGCUAACUCCGUGCCAGCAGCCGCGGUAAUACGGAGGAUCCGAGCGUUAUCCGGAUUUAUUGGGUUUAAAGGGAGCGUAGGUUGACCAUUAAGUCAGCUGUGAAAUCUGUCGGCUCAACCGACAAAUUGCAGUUGAAACUGAUGGUCUUGAGUACGGUAGAAGUGGGCGGAAUUCGUGGUGUAGCGGUGAAAUGCUUAGAUAUCACGAAGAACUCCGAUUGCGAAGGCAGCUCACCGGACCGGCACUGACACUGAGGCUCGAAAGUGUGGGUAUCAAACAGGAUUAGAUACCCUGGUAGUCCACACAGUAAACGAUGAAUACUCGCUGUUUGCGAUAUACAGUAAGCGGCCAAGCGAAAGCGUUAAGUAUUCCACCUGGGGAGUACGCCGGCAACGGUGAAACUCAAAGGAAUUGACGGGGGCCCGCACAAGCGGAGGAACAUGUGGUUUAAUUCGAUGAUACGCGAGGAACCUUACCCGGGCUUGAAUUGCUUCUGAAUGAUUUAGAAAUAGAUCAGCCGCAAGGCAGGAGUGAAGGUGCUGCAUGGUUGUCGUCAGCUCGUGCCGUGAGGUGUCGGCUCAAGUGCCAUAACGAGCGCAACCCCUAUUUACAGUUGCCAUCAGAUCAUGCUGGGCACUCUGUAGAGACUGCCGUCGUAAGAUGUGAGGAAGGUGGGGAUGACGUCAAAUCAGCACGGCCCUUACGUCCGGGGCUACACACGUGUUACAAUGGAUGGUACAGAAGGCAGCUACCGUGCGAACGGAUGCUAAUCCCAAAAGCCAUUCCCAGUUCGGAUCGAAGUCUGCAACUCGACUUCGUGAAGCUGGAUUCGCUAGUAAUCGCGCAUCAGCCAUGGCGCGGUGAAUACGUUCCCGGGCCUUGUACACACCGCCCGUCAAGCCAUGGGAGCCGGAGGUGCCUGAAGACCGUAACCGCAAGGAUCGGUCUAGGGUAAAUCAGGUAACUGGGGCU
rnacentral:rRNA from 1 species